UGUUUGUGGUGGUGGGAGUGGUAGUGGUAGUAGUGGUGGUGGUAGGAGUGGUCGAGGUGAGGGUAAUACUGAUACUAAGUGCAAGAGCACCAGUACCAUCAAGACUGGGGUGAACAGAAGAACAGCGACCCGUGUCCCUUCAGCCUUCAGCACAGCAAGCAUGUUUGGUGGUGUACAGUACUGAAGGAGCUCUGAGACCUGAACCAUCGGUACAAGACUCAGUAGCAUCUGACCGCUGCUGUGAACUGCAAGAAACCAAACUUUGAAGAUAUUGGGAUCUACAUUCGUCCUUGAAAUUGGAGCUAUUGCUAAUUUCAGCUAUGAAGAUAUAUAGGUACGAAGCUCUGCGAGGAGCGAAUGUGUUGGUGACAGGUGUCAUGAUGGGUGUAGCUAUAGUUGGCACCUUUGUUGGUGCUGUGGCCAACAACGGCUGUGCCUGGCACUCUCUCCUGGACUACUGGCUUCUAGGUAUUGGUGUAACUACCGUAGGAGCUGUGGUGGGCGUGGUAAUAUGGCUUCAGUCACUCACCUGUACUAAGGUCAUCAACGGACCAAGAUGUUUGAUGAUGCUGCUGCUGGUCGUCAACGUCAUCUGGCUCAUAUUAGGU